CAGUAGCCGCGGUAAUACGAAGGGGGCUAGCGUUGUUCGGAUUUACUGGGCGUAAAGCGCACGUAGGCGGACUUUUAAGUCAGGGGUGAAAUCCCGGGGCUCAACCCCGGAACUGCCUUUGAUACUGGAAGUCUUGAGUAUGGUAGAGGUGAGUGGAAUUCCGAGUGUAGAGGUGAAAUUCGUAGAUAUUCGGAGGAACACCAGUGGCGAAGGCGGCUCACUGGACCAUUACUGACGCUGAGGUGCGAAAGCGUGGGGAGCAAACAGGAUUAGAUACCCCAGUAGUCCCUGUCUCUUAUAC
rnacentral:rRNA from 1 species